ensembl:lncRNA
UGGGUUUUUCUGGGUAUAUCAAGAGUUUUCACCAAUAGCCAGUCACUCGUUCUGAUGAUUGUGGUCUUCUGGCCUACAGUCUGAAAGUCGUAGCAUGUCUAACCUUGCUAAAAUUCUUUGUUUCAUGUGUACCAGUGAUUUCUUUGGAAGUCUUGGUUGAUUCAGGUAGUCAAGUUAAGCUUGCAGCAACCACUCACAGUCUGUAUUGCUCACAAAGUACAACAUUUGUUUGACAGGAGUUAUGUGCCUAAAUGCUCAUCUGGUGUUUCUUGGUUCAUUUUCCUUUCCACUUGCGCUUUCCACUUUCCUUUCCAUUCGCUUUCCACUUGUGCUUUCCACUUUCUUAACUCUUAAGAAACCUUACCUCUUCCUUGCAAGACUGUUCCAUGUGAUAAAAUCAUCCUGUCUUAUUCCUUAAAAUUCCCAAAGUCUUUUAGCAACUUCAAUAAAUAGGAUAAAGGCCUGUCCUGAAGACGUGGUAGACAAAUAAGGGAAGGGGGAUUUGCAGGGAGCUUUGUGUUUGAUUGCUUUUAGCUCCUGGUUAAUGGUUGAACUCUGAUUGUGCUAACAACCUGGAAUGUGUGGGAGUCCUGGGAAGGAAGGCGGAGGCUUGCCAAAAUACCUGGAAGAACAUUCAAAAUAGAAAAGGAAGCAUGGGAGGGGCAGAAGCAAAGGCUAUCAGGAAGAGAUUAACUUUGCCCAACGGCUGCUUUUGGCAGGGCAAGGAGAGAUGGGGCAAGCAGCAUCAUGUGUGGCCCCUCAGGAGAUGGUAUUUUAAAUUUACUGUACACCGCUAUUUAUAAUUGUGACCAAUCAAACAUACUUCAGUCCAUUUUGCUAUUCAUAUUACUUUUCUUUAAACUCCUGUUUAAAGAUAAGAAAAAGUCAUGUUUGAGUUACGUCCCCCUCUGUCCCAAAUUGUCGCUUAUGUAAACUGUACUGUUGGCAGUCAUAGAAUAGAGACAAGGUUCAUGACCUCUGCCAAAGGAGAGGCUGUUUUGCUGGGGAUAGAAUACAGAGAGCUAAGGACAAUUAAAGUUUUUUAAACAGUUACUAAUUACAAACAUUUUUUGGAGUUCAGGUUAAGGAAGGAGAUGCAUUUAGAUAAGGAAACAAUAAAUGUUUAAAACAAGGCAUGUAAUUGUUGCUGCUGCCUUCUCCAAUUUGCUAAAUUGUUCUAAAAACCAUUUGUGCCAUGGUAAGUAUGCUAUGUGAUCAGCAUUACAGUGAUUAAUUUUGUAAGCAUUGGUAGUUUCAAGAUGUAGGCUCUUCUGCUAGCCAUCAAUGUUAUCUACUGUCCUACUAAAAAAAUCAGGAAUAUAUUAAAUGUCAAUAGUAUCACUCCACAGCAUUUUAGAAACCAUUAACCAGGCACUGUAAGGCCACUGUUGCAAAAGUAACUUCAGAAAAACAUUUAGAGAACUAAGAGAUAAAGUUUUUAAACACUCAGUAAGGAAACAUACACCCAGCACAGUGUCAGCUGAGUGAUCUGACACACACCUGGAAGUAAGGCUGAAUUUCCACUCCUUAUGCCUUGGUUCUGCCUGAAUGCAAUAUUCUAUUACGUGCUGAUGACUGAGCCUGUCUGUAGCUGGCAGAAAAUGACAAGUUACCUCCUCAGUUUUGCUGUUUGGAACUUUUAGGCUGCAGUUGUCACUUGAAGACUACAGUAUGCCAUGCACAGGCAUGUUAAUUAUUAACUAUUGCUACAAGGAGACUUUUUCAAUAAAACGUCUGAAUG